UUCUGUUCUAUUUUAAGAAAUUACACGAGUGUAGACAAAGGCAACUUGCUGCUGAACAUAUCAGUAUCUUUCUAACAGUAAUUCAAUGAAGUCAAUAGGUUAAAAGGAGAAAAAAUGAGCAUAAUAAAUACAAACAAGGAAACUCAGUCUGCCUACCUAGGUCUCCACAGCUAUAUUCAAUGUGUCUUGCAAGCAAACUUAAAAACCAACAGAAAAUUUCCAAGAUACACGCCGGUCCACAAUUUGCAUGAGACUUUCAAAAUUCUACACAUUCAUGACUCCAUAAUAAAAUUAUGCAAGCAACAAGCAGAAGUAAUAAAAUCAUUAUAAUCUGUACACAGGAACUAUGUAAGAGACUUAAAAUUGGUGGCGGUCAAAAUUACAGCCGUUCAAGUGACUAGGCUGCUGUUGUAGCAUAGAGCAAGUUAAGAUACAGCAUAAUCUACUGCACACUGCCUGAUACACAAGAGACCAUGUGUAUAUUUUAUGUACUGCAAUGUAAAUCUGUUUAGUGACUUGGACUGUGGAACAGGCCCUACUUCUACAAAGAUAACCAUGAUGAUGAAGGCA